rnacentral:rRNA from 1 species
UACAGAGGGUGCGAGCGUUGUCCGGAAUCACUGGGCGUAAAGGGCGCGUAGGUGGUGGCUUAAGCGUGCGGUGAAAGCUCGGGGCUCAACCCCGAGUCGGCCGUGCGAACUGGGCUCACUGGAGCAUAGUAGAGGCAGGUGGAAUUCCGGGUGUAGCGGUGGAAUGCGUAGAGAUCAGGAGGAAUACCGAUGGCGAAGGCAGGUCUCUGGGCUGAUACUGACGCUCAUGCACGAAAGCGUGGGGAGCAAACAGG